CCUACGGGUGGCAGCAGUGGGGAAUAUUGCACAAUGGGCGAAAGCCUGAAGCAGCAACGUCGCGUGAGGGAUGAAGGCCCUCCGGUCGUAAAGCCCCGUUCUCAAGGAAGCAAAUGACGGUACUUGAGGCGGAAGCCCCGGCUAACUACGUGCCAGCAGCCGCGGUAAUACGUAGGCGGCGAGCGUUAUCCGGAAUUACUGGGCGUAAAGGGUGCGUAGGUGGUUUCUUAAGUCAGAGGUAAAAGGGCGCGGCUCAACCGCAGUACGCCUUUGAAACUGGGGAACUUGAGUGCAGGAGAGGAAAGUGGAAUUCGUGGUGUAGCGGUGAAAUGCAUAGAUAUUAGGAGGAACACCAGUUGCGAAGGCAGCACUCUGGACUGUAACUGACACUGAGGCACGAAAGCGUGGGGAGCGAACAGGAUUAGAUACCCUAGUAGUC
rnacentral:rRNA from 1 species